rnacentral:rRNA from 1 species
UGGUGUAGCGGUGAAAUGCGCAGAUAUCAGGAAGAACACCGAUGGCGAAGGCAGGUCUCUGGGCCAUUACUGACACUGAGAAGCGAAAGCAUGGGUAGCGAACAGGAUUAGAUACCCUGGUAGUCCAUGCCGUAAACGUUGGGCACUAGGUGUGGGGGACAUUCCACGUUUUCCGCGCCGUAGCUAACGCAUUAAGUGCCCCGCCUGGGGAGUACGGCCGCAAGGCUAAAACUCAAAGGAAUUGACGGGGGCCCGCACAAGCGGCGGAGCAUGCUGAUUAAUUCGAUGCAACGCGAAGAACCUUACCAAGGCUUGACAUGCACUGGACGGCUGCAGAGAUGUGGCUUUCUUUGGACUGGUGCACAGGUGGUGCAUGGUUGUCGUCAGCUCGUGUCGUGAGAUGUUGGGUUAAGUCCCGCAACGAGCGCAACCCUCGUUCUAUGUUGCCAGCACGUAAUGGUGGGGACUCAUAGGAGACUGCCGGGGUCAACUCGGAGGAAGGUGGGGACGACGUCAAAUCAUCAUGCCCCUUAUGUCUUGGGCUUCAAGCAUGCUACAAUGGUCGGUACAAUGGGUUGCGAAACUGUGAGGUGGAGCGAAUCCCAAAAAGCCGGCCUCAGUUCGGAUUGGGGUCUGCAACUCGACCCCAUGAAGUCGGAGUCGCUAGUAAUCGCAGAUCAGCAACGCUGCGGUGAAUACGUUCCCGGGCCUUGUACACACCGCGCCGUCAAGUCACGAAAGUCGGUAACACCCGAAGCCAGUGGCCCAUCCUCG